AUGAACGCUGGCGGCGUGCCUAAUACAUGCAAGUCGAACGAGGUGCUUUUGUAGCAAUACGAGAGUAUCCUAGUGGCGAACGGGUGAGUAACGCGUUGGUGACCUGCCCCAAAGUGUGGGAUAACAGUCCGAAAGGAUUGCUAAUACCGCAUGUGGUCAUUGGCUAUAGAAACCGAUGACUAAAGGAGUAAUUCGCUUUGGGAGGGACCUGCGUCCCAUCAGCUAGUUGGUGAGGUAACGGCUCACCAAGGCGACGACGGGUAGGGGACCUGAGAGGGUGGCCCCCCACAAUGGAACUGAAACACGGUCCAUACACCUACGGGUGGCAGCAGUAGGGAAUAUUGCUCAAUGGGCGAAAGCCUGAAGCAGCAACGCCGCGUGUGUGAUGAAGGCCUUCGGGUCGUAAAGCACUUUUCUGGGAGAUGAGAAAGGACAGUAUCCCAGGAAUAAGUCUCGGCUAACUACGUGCCAGCAGCCGCGGUAAAACGUAGGAGGCGAGCGUUAUCCGGAUUCACUGGGCGUAAAGCGUGCGCAGGCGGUGCGGUAAGUUGGGCGUGAAAUCUCCCGGCUCAACUGGGAGAGGUCGUCCAAUACUACCGUACUUGAGAGCAGAAGAGGAAGAUGGAAUUCCCGGUGUAGUGGUGAAAUGCGUAGAUAUCGGGGGGAACACCAGUGGCGAAGGCGAUCUUCUGGUCUGUUUCUGACGCUCAUGCACGACAGCUAGGGUAGUAAACGGGAUUAGAGACCCCGGUAAUCCUAGCCGUAAACGAUGUGAACUUGGCGUUGGUGGGUUAAACUCCAUCAGUGCCGUAGCAAACGCGAUAAGUUCACCGCCUGGGGACUACGGCCGCAAGGUUAAAACUCAAAGGAAUUGACGGGGGCCCGCACAAGCAGCGGAGCGUGUGGUUUAAUUCGAUGCUACACGAAGAACCUUACCCAGGCUUGAUAUACAGGUGGUAGGGAUCCGAAAGGUGACCGACCCGCAAGGGAGCCUGAACAGGUGUUGCAUGGCUGUCGUCAGCUCGUGUCGUGAGAUGUUCGGUUAAGUCCGCUAACGAGCGCAACCCUCGCUGCGUGUUACAAGUGUCACGCAGGACCGCCGGUAUUAAGCCGGAGGAAGGUGGGGAUGACGUCAAGUCAGCAUGGCCUUUAUGCCUGGGGCUACACACACGCUACAAUGGGCAGUACAAUGGGUUGCUAAGCCGCGAGGUGGAGCCAAUCCCCCAAAACUGUCCUCAGUUCAGAUUGCAGGCUGCAACUCGCCUGCAUGAAGCCGGAGUUGCUAGUAAACGCGCGUCAGCUAUAGUGCGUUGAAUACGUUCUCGGGCCUUGUACACACCGCCCGUCACGUCAUGGGAGCUGGUAACACCUGAAGCCGGUAGCCUAACCGCAAGGAGGGCGCCGUCGAGGGUGGGGCUGGUGACUGGGACG
rnacentral:rRNA from 1 species